rnacentral:rRNA from 1 species
GACGAACGCUGGCGGCGUGCUUAACACAUGCAAGUCGAACGAAGAGCGAUGGAAGCUUGCUUCUAUCAAUCUUAGUGGCGAACGGGUGAGUAACGCGUAAUCAACCUGCCCUUCAGAGGGGGACAACAGUUGGAAACGACUGCUAAUACCGCAUACGAUCUAAUCUCGGCAUCGAGGAUAGAUGAAAGGUGGCCUCUACAUGUAAGCUAUCACUGAAGGAGGGGAUUGCGUCUGAUUAGCUAGUUGGAGGGGUAACGGCCCACCAAGGCGAUGAUCAGUAGCCGGUCUGAGAGGAUGAACGGCCACAUUAGGACUGAGACACGGCCCAGACUCCUACGGGAGGCAGCAGUGGGGAAUCUUCCGCAAUGGACGAAAGUCUGACGGAGCAACGCCGCGUGAGCGAUGACGGCCUUCGGGUUGUAAAGCUCUGUUAAUCGGGACGAAAGGCCUUCUUGCGAAUAGUGAGAAGGAUUGACGGUACCGGAAUAGAAAGCCACGGCUAACUACGUG